UAAUACGUAGGGGGCAAGCGUUGUCCGGAUUUAUUGGGCGUAAAGAGCUCGUAGGCGGUUUGGUAAGUCUGGUGUGAAAUCUCCACGCUCAACGUGGAGGGGCCACCCGAUACUGCCAUGACUGGAGUCCGGUAGAGGAGUGUGGAAUUCCCGGUGUAGCGGUGAAAUGCGCAGAUAUCGGGAGGAACACCGAUGGCGAAGGCAGGUCUCUGGGCUGACACUGACGCUCAUGCACGAAAGCGUGGGGAGCAAACAGGAUUAGAUACCCUGGUAGUCCACGCCCUAAACGAUGUCGACUGGUUGUUGGGGGUUUGACACUCUCAGUAACGAAGCUAACGCGUGAAGUCGACCGCCUGGGGAGUACGGCCGCAAGGUUA
rnacentral:rRNA from 1 species